UACGUAGGGUCCGAGCGUUGUCCGGAAUUACUGGGCGUAAAGAGCUCGUAGGUGGUUUGUCGCGUUGUUCGUGAAAACUCACAGCUUAACUGUGGGCGUGCGGGCGAUACGGGCAGACUGGAGUACUGCAGGGGAGACUGGAAUUCCUGGUGUAGCGGUGGAAUGCGCAGAUAUCAGGGAGGAACACCGGUGGCGAAGGCGGGUCUCUGGGCAGUAACUGACGCUGAGGAGCGAAAGCGUGGGGAGCGAACAGG
rnacentral:rRNA from 1 species